GGAGACAGCAUCUUGCUCUGUUGCUCCGGUUCGAGUGCAGUGAUGUCAUCAUAGUUCAUUGCAGCCUCAAAUACCUUGCUUGGCUCAUGCAAUCCUCCUGCCCCAACCUCCCAAGUGGCUGGGACUAUGGACACAUGCCCCCAUUCAUGGCUAAUUUUUUUUUUUAGUAUACACGGGGUCUCACCACGUUAGCUAGGUUGCUCCCAAACUUCUGACCUCAACUGAUCCACCUGCCUCAGCUCCCCAAAGUGCUGGGAUUACAGGCAUGAGCCACCAAGCCCGGCCACUGCAGUAUUAUUUCUUGGGGUUUUCUAAAACUGAUUUGAAUCUCUGCAUUUUACAUUCCCUUAGAAUUCAGAGUGUUAGAAAAGACUUGUUUUCAUCACGUUGGCUCAUUUGGGAUAAUUUCAAGUCUGUGUUUUUAUCUGUCUCUGGAAGUUUCCAAAGCUGCAGAUAGUCUCCAGUAGCUCUUUUAUUCCAUUUUAACUUCUGCCAUCUAGUUCCAUGUUACAAAAAAUAUGUUUGGGGGUGUUUAGGCCACAGCCACCCCUAUGUGUGUCCAAAAGGUCUGAAAUGGGCCCUUCUGGCCCCACAGCCUGUCAGCAGGGGCAGUGGCCUCUAGGUCAGGCCUAGAGCUAGGAAGAGGGACAGAGGUCAGUGCACAAGACCACCUGGCCCCAUGCUCAUGCCCACAGCCCUUCUGCAGGGCGUCCUUGGGCUUGUUUUCAAGCCCAUGUGAUAGAGAUUUGGGAAUGUGUCACUUCUAUAAUACCCUAAAAAGGGGUUGGGGAGAGCAUACAGGACUGAGGGUGCAGCCCACGUGAGGCACACACCUGUGAGGCCAGACUGAGUGGACAGGACACACACAGGAGGCGCCACCCUCCUCAGCAGCAUGCUGCCAGCACCAGCAGGGGUCUUUAGGUGAGGACUGGCAUGACUAGAAUGCCUUCUUAGGAAAAUGAUCUGCAGCUGAGGCUGCUGCUGCACAGGGACUGGGAAGGGCAGGGGCACUCAGGGUGUCUGUGGCAGGGGCCCAAGGCUGCACCCAAGCCUGGAGCUUGGGUGACCUGAGGACCAGCAGGAAGGGCCCAUCUGGCAUCCAAGGGGCAUCCUCAAGGCACUGGAAACUCAGUUCUGGGGCUGGGUCACUAGGGGUGCCCUAAGGAGCCUGGGACUGAAGCCUCAGGACCCCACCCUGGCUGGUUUUUGUCUGAGCUGUGGCAGUUCCCAGCCUACAGAAGGGCAGGUGAAAGGGCCAGGGGUCCAGGGAUAGGAGAAACUGGCCCUUCCAUGCUCCACCUUAGACCACAGGGGCUCAAGCAUUCUCUAGGGACACUGUCCGGGAACAACUGUGGCAUCCAACAGGGUCGACUCCUGCCCUGCUCCCAGUUCAGCCUAAAGUCAGACCUGAGACGAGGUUUUGACUUCAUUGCUCUGCCUGGCCUGGCGCACGCCUCCCGUGAGCAAACAGCCCAGGGGCCAAAAUCCAGGCCUUGGAAAAGCUGGCAUCUUCUGUUCUCCAGGGCGGCCCAGCACAACAGCACAGCUCAAGUGACAGCACCCAGAACCCAGAGAGGGUAAGACUUCGCUGUGUAGGCGGGCCAGGCCAAGCCCCUCCACUGCUGUCACAGGUUUACAGUGGAGCAGAGUGGCAGGCUGGCUACAGGCAGCCCAGGCCACAGGUCAGGGGACCCACACCAGGCCACAGGAACAGGCUUGCUGCAGGUAUCAGAAAACCCAAGGUCACAGUGGUUUAAACAAGUUUAUUUCUCAGCCAUGUAGGCAGGAGGAGGCAGUCCAGGGCUGAGAAGCCUGAGGUCUCAGGGAGGCAGGCUCCAUCUGCUGCUCCGUCAUCUUGGUUCACGCCUCUCUCCUAGGGGUCACCUCUGUGUUCAAGGAAGUGCUCAAGUUCAGGCUGAGCUAGGGUGUGUACGGUGGCUUCCAACCAGCAUGUGACACCCCCAGGCAGCUCCCUGCUGUGCCUGGACCCACCUAUGACCUUGGCUUACUGCAUCUUGCUGGAUUCCCCAUCUUGGUCUUGCUGGCUGUUUUUAGAGACUGAGCCCAUAGUCUCCAGGACUCAGGUGACUUUGGCUACCCCUGGAGUCCUGUAUUAAAGAUCUGCAAUAGAAAUGUGUCCAGCAGGGAA